rnacentral:rRNA from 1 species
UACGAACUGUGCAAACGUUAUUCGGAAUCACUGGGCUUACAGGGUGCGUAGGCGGCUUGCUAAGUAGGGUGUGAAAGCCCCCGGCUUAACCGGGGAACUGCGCCUUAAACUGGCGAGCUAGAGUGAGAUAGGGGUGUGCGGAACUUCCGGUGGAGCGGUGAAAUGUGUUGAUAUCGGAAGGAACGCCGGUGGCGAAAGCGGCACACUGGAUCUCAACUGACGCUGAGGCGCGAAAGCCAGGGGAGCGAACGGG